rnacentral:tRNA from 1 species
GCAGAAGUGGCGGAAUGGUAGACGCGCUGUCUUCAGACGGCAGUGGGGGUGCCCCCGUGAGAGUUCAAAUCUCUUCUUCUGCA